rnacentral:rRNA from 1 species
AUUGAACGCUGGCGGCAUGCUUUACACAUGCAAGUCGAACGGGGUGAGGAGCUUGCUCCACAUCUAGUGGCGAACGGGUGAGUAAUACAUCGGAACGUACCGUGUAGUGGGGGAAAACGUAGCGAAAGUUACGCUAAUACCGCAUACGAUCUACGGAUGAAAGCAGGGGACCUUCGGGCCUUGUGCUAUACGAGCGGGCGAGGUCUGAUUAGCUAGGUGGUGAGGUAAAGGCUCACCAAGGCGACGAUCAGUAGCGGGUCUGAGAGGAUGAUCCGCCACACUGGGACUGAGACACGGCCCAGACUCCUACGGGAGGCAGCAGUGGGGAAUUUUGGACAAUGGGCGCAAGCCUGAUCCAGCCAUGCCGCGUGUCUGAAGAAGGCCUUCGGGUUGUAAAGGACUUUUGUCAGGGAGCAAAACUUACUGGUUAAUACCCGGUGAGGCUGAGAGUACCUGAAGAAUAAGCACCGGCUAACUACGUGCCAGCCGCCGCGGUAAUAC